CCAGGUAGUUUAUAUCCAGGUAGUUUAUCUUUAUAUCUAUGCAGUUUAUAUCUAGGUAGUUUAUCUUAAUAUCUAGGUAGUUUAUCUUUAUAUAUAGGUAGUUUAUAUGAUGUAGUUUAUCUUUAUAUCUAGGUAGUUUAUAUCUAUAUAGUUUAUCUUUAUAUCUAGGUAGUUUAUAUCUAGGUACUUUAUAUUUAUAUCUAGGUAGUUUAUAUCUAGGUAGUUUAUAUUUAUAUCUAUAUAGUUUAUAUCUAGGUAGUUUAUAUCUACAUAAUUUAUCUUUAUAUCUAGGUAGUUCAUAUCUAGGUAGUUUAUAUUUAUAUCUGGGUAGUUUAUCUUUAUAACUAGGUAGUUCCUAUCCAGGUAGUUUAUCUUUAUAUCAAGGUAGUUUAUCUUUAUAUCUAGGUAGUUUAUCUAUAUAUAUCUAUAUAGUUUAUCUUUAUAUCCAGAUAGUUUAUCUUUAUAUCUAGGUAGUUUAUAUCUACGUAGUUUAUAUCUAUAUAAUUUAUCUGUAUAUCUAUGUAGUUUAUAUCUACGUAGUUUAUAUCUA
ensembl:lncRNA